GCCGGCCCCCUCCCAAACAUUAGUCCUGCAUGGUGAGUCAGGACAUAGGAGCAAAGAAAGUUCAUUGCCCCAAGGUGUGACAUUAUCACCACACUUACUCUCAUGAGGCCAUUUCUGAGGGAAAAAAGGUGCAACAACUCUGCAGGCUGGACUACUGCAAUGCCCUCCUCGUCGUGAUCCCAGCAAAAAGCCUCCAAAAGCUUCAACAUGUGCAAAACACCGCCGCCAGGAUCCUGACGAAGAUGCCCAAACACGCUCACAUUACACCUGUUCUCCGUAACCUCCACUGGCUUCCAAUCUCAAAAUGCAUCCAAUACAAAGUCUGUUUGCUUGCCUACCAGCGCAUUCAUGGACAUGCCCCGGACUAUCUCUCAGAACUCGUAGCCCAUCGCUCCAUUUCCAGACAACUUCGAUCCACUAAUACCAAGCUUCUGUUCACUCCAAGAUCAAACCUGAGAACAAUGGGCUACAGAGUGUUCCGGACAGCUGCUCCUGAACUGUGGAACGCAUUACCACCACGCCUGAGAAACCGACAGUCCCUGGAGUCAUUUAGGAAAGGGCUAAAGAUGUUUUUUUUUUUUCAAGUUCUAACAUGUUGCUAUUGUUUUUGAAAUGUUUUAUAAAUGUAUUUUUGUACUUUCCCUAUUGUAGCACUUUGAGAUCCUGUAUGUAAAGUGCAUUAUAAAUUAAAGGCAUUAUUAUUAUCAUUAUUAUUAUUAUUAUUAUUAUUAUUACUAUUAUUAUUAUUACUGCAGGACCAGCAUCAGCCUUUUUAAAUACAGGCAAUCUUUGUACAUAGUGUACAUCUGGUUUCUUUAAGCAGGACAAAAUUUUUUGUCACAGUUGCUCUUUACUUAAAAGCAAAGUGUCACAAAAUACCACUGAUAACUUUUUAUUGCUUUCACUCUGUAACGGUAAAAAAAAUAAGAAGAAUAUUUAUGUCACUUGUCAUUAGAAACGCAGACAUCACAGAUCCAGGAAUGACAAAAAGUUGGCAUUGACUGCUGCAAGUUGUGAAGAGAGCACUUACACACCUGCCUACAAGGAGGAAUGUAAUACAUCAAACGUGACUGUGAAUGACGUUUUUGGACUAUGGUGCAUUUCUGAAAAAGCAAAAGGGUCUGGCCUGAUGAGAAACGCAAUAAAAAAAAAUAAAAUAUAGGGAGUUGUUACUCGAGAGUAUGUCUCGUUCAGCUUUCUAGAAAAUCUGCUUAUUGUUUGCCAUCUCCUGAUAAAACUUUGUGCCUCUGGGACCCUUAAUUUGUUGUUUUUAAUAACUUUAAUACAACUCUGUGCAACAUGUUAGAUGGAAAAGUGUGAAUGGAGAAAAAUGGGCAUGUAGGGGAGAUAAAAUAAAGUGUUUAUUAUUUCCA